rnacentral:lncRNA from 1 species
AGGAUGCUUCACUCAAGUCCUUUAUGAAAAAUUUACUUAAUAGCCAUAUCUUGAUCGAUUGUAAUAUUGAGAUAUCAUUCUCAAUGAGAAGUAUGUCAUCCAUAUAUAAAAUUAAGAAGACAAUGAUACUCCCACGUCUUCUUAUACAUACAAAGUUCAUCCAUAUUUUUGAUGAAGUCAAACUCUUUGACUGUAAUAUCAAAGUGGAUGUUUCAACUCCUCG